rnacentral:rRNA from 1 species
CAGUCGCCGCGGGAAUACGAAGGGGGCUAGCGUUGCUCGGAAUGACUGGGCGUAAAGGGCGCGUAGGCGGCGAUCAAAGUCAGGCGUGAAAUUCCUGGGCUCAACCUGGGGGCUGCGUUUGAUACUUGAUUGCUAGAGUGGGGCAGAGGGAAUUUCCGGUGGAGCGAUGAAAUGCGUUGAGAUCGGAAAGAACACCAACAGCGAAAGCACUCUGUUGGGCCGACACUGACACUGGGAGACGAAAGUUAGGGGAGCAAAUGGGAUUAGAUACCCGAGUAGUCCAUGUCUCUUAUACACAUCU